rnacentral:rRNA from 1 species
GUUUAUGGCCAUUCCACCCUGAGCAUGCCAUCUCAGAAGCUAAGCAGGGUCAGGCCUGGUUAGUACUUGGAUGGGAGAAAGUAUCUCAGAAGUAAGAUAUAAAGA